CCCUAAACCCUGUGCCUUCUCCCCCCUCUCACUUGCGCUCCCUACUUGAGGUUCCUAAACUUGCACCUGAGAGCUGCUGCUUCUGUUUUGGUUGGUGGUAGGUUUGGGUACGCGUCCUUGGAGAGGCAAAGGCAGCGGCUGCCGGUGUACAAGUACCGCAAGGCUAUCCUCUACCUUGUCGAGCGGCAUGCCACGACCAUCGUCGUCGGCGAGACCGGCAGCGGCAAGUCCACACAAAUCCCCCAAGUACGUGCUCCAGGCUUUUUUUUCACACCUCGAACGGACAGUGGGUGCCCAGAUCAUUUGAGAAUUGGUUGUGUGCUGGGCAUUUGGUCGAACAGUUGAUGUGCGUGUCAGAGUGUGCGUGUGCUGAUUGUUCAUGCUAUCCUACUAUGAGGAUCUUUAUGGCGGUAUGUAAGAUAAUUUGUGAACGGUCACACAACAGUACAUACCACCUAGAGGGUCUUUACGUGUGCACAUGUCUUACCGCCGUAUGCCACAGUAGUUUGGGCUCAAAUAUUUGUAUGAAGGUAGGCUGAAUUGAGAUGUAUCUUCGUAAUUAAUUUUGGAUUUUUUAUAUAUUAACUCCACAAUGAAGCCAUAAUACUUUGCUUGGUUGUACCUAUAUGCUACAAAAUUUUGAAUUUCAACCUGCAUAGUUGAAGGUUGAAUAGAAAGUUCAUUUUUUGUUGGUUAAUAUGCUAUUUUUCUAAUAUUGUAAAGAGACAAACGACCAAACGCUUAUGGCUAUUGCCUAAUAGCCCCUGAAAAGAGCAAGCACUACCUGAUAUCUCAUUAUCUUACUUGCAUAUGAUUUUUCCUUUCUUACCUCACUGUAUUUUGAACCAGUAUCUUAAGGAGGCCGGCUGGGCUGAGGGUGGUCGACUUAUAGGUUGCACCCAGCCAAGGCGAUUGGCUGUGCAGGUAUCAAAUGUUUUUAAUCUCAUUCAGCUGCACAUCAUUCUCUGGAUGCUAUUUAAAGUUAGGUCUCUCUAUUUCACUGUCUUAUAAGAGCAUGCACCAUAUUAUUCUUUUGGAUACGUCCCUAGCCAUGGCAUGCAACGGUGCGAGGCUCUUAGCUACUCAUCUUUGAGGCAAAUUUAUCUUUUUCUUCUGGAUGAUCUCUAGACUCUAGCACUAUCUACCUUUCUUUAUAGAGCAUACGGUCCACCCUAAAUUGGAACACACCAAAUCGUAACAAUACAGAACUAAGAAAUAGAGAUACAUAUCUUCAUCAUAAUAGGGUUAGGCAACUUCGUAAAGAUAAGCUUGGCUUUUCUUGACUAUCUUCAUCAUAGUGAUAAAUAACUUUGUAAAGAUACGCUUGGUCUUUCUUGGGCAUGAAGGUUUAUCCACCCUCUCCCCCUCCGUCCAUGCGUGCGUCCCAGGGUUGCAAUUUUAUGGUGCCAAAAAAUGUGUCCAUAAAAGGACUUAUGCUGGCAAAAUCGUGACCUUUGAGAACUACUCUAUGUAGCAAUGCAGCGUUGGAAAGCAUUCUUCUGACAACCUCUCGUGGUCCAGUAGUUAUAAGAAGUCAGCUUAUUCCAACCAUAUGUUUUACUGAGGAUGUCUGAGUAUUUUUUUACUGUUCUUAUAAACUCUUUCUUAAUUUUUAUGUUCCAUAAUUUAUUUUCUGUUAGACUACAUUUGCAGAUGUUUUCGUUUUUAUGAUCAUUUCUUUUUUCAACCCAUCUUGAUAAUGUGAACAGACGGUUGCAUCAAGAGUAGCUGAAGAAGUUGGUGUAAAACUUGGAGAAGAAGUAGGUUAUACAAUCCGAUUUGAGGAUCAAACAAACCCGGUAUGAUUAAGUUUUUCUCCUUUCACUGGUUUCUUUGUCUGAAUGCUCCAGCAUGAAACACAUUGUUUUCUAUCGGCUUUGUGCUCUCUUAAUCUAUUACUCUGCUUAUGACCUACUCGGUUUGACAGGGUAUGACCAUGAUCAAAUUUCUCACAGAUGGGGUACUGAUUAGAGAAAUGAUGGAAGAUCCUCUUUUGACCAAAUAUAGGUACCUUGCUAUGACCCUCAAUGUUAGAUAAUAAGCUUGAAGUCCAACUUGUCACAUGUCUCGUUGUCAUGAUUACUCAACCAUGUUCAAUCCAAUUGUAUAUCUUUAUCCUGGUUAUACAUUGGUGAUGAUAUUCUUAAUGGAGUGAGAACUCCUUUUCCAGUUGGACUGUUCUAUGCUGGUUUUAUUUUAUUCACAUAGCAAUCCAUGUUUUCUGUUGUAUUAGUGUAAUUAUGAUAGAUGAAGCUCAUGAAAGAUCCAUUUCAACCGACAUCUUGCUGGGACUCCUAAAAAAGGUUCGCGCUUUUGAAUAUGCAAGUUUGAUUUCUCUUGAACUCGGCUGUGGAUAAUGUUUUUGUUUCCUGCUUUGCAUGCUUCUUUAUAUCAUCUGGCCAGAUUCAACGCCGUCGACCAGAGUUGCGUCUUAUCAUCUCCUCGGCAACAAUUGAAGCAAGAUCCAUGUCAACCUUUUUCAGCAUUAGGUCAGUCCCUGUCUAGUAAGAACUAGUUUUGCAUCCUUCAUCUUUGCACUUGUUACUUUUUAUGCAACUGAAGCAAGUAAAUGCAGUACAGUGCAUCUACCAGGAAAUUCUCGAGAAAGUAAUUUUAGUCAUAAAGAUGGUCAAAGAACACAAUUGGCUACCAAAUAUAGUAAAACUUAUAUAUUCUCCACUCACGGGCCAUGGUUGCUAAUUGUUCCCAAUUCGUGGUUACCUUUGCAGUAUCCACGAAGUCGCUACGCGGUAUCAUCAAGAUGCAAUUGUUAACUCUGAUAAAUGCACUGUUGUCUUGUGCUUAAGCAUCAUAUACACUUCGAAUUGCGCUAGCAAGUUAGUGAGGGACUGAUCUCUUUUAUAUUCUUUCACCCACAGGCGGAAGAAUUCCUUGCCUGAGUCUGCUGAUGAUUUACCCAACCCAGAACCUGCUAUCCUUUCUGUUGAAGUAUGUUUUACUUGUAGCUGAAGUAUAGAUGUGGAAGGGUUCUCCUCAUUGAUGAAAGUGGAAUUUGAUUAUAAUUUGGUUCUGUAGGGUAGAGGGUACACAGUGGAAACUCAUUACGUGGAAGAACCUGUCUCAGACUACUUGCUGGCUGCUGUCAGUACUGUCCUUAUUAUUCAUGAAAAGGUUAGUUGUUUCAUGCUGUUUAACAAAGACAAGAUGUGAUCUACUCCCUCCGAUUAUUAUGCUUCUUAAGAUGUUUUUGAUAAUUUGGGAACUUCUGUUUGAUUUGCUUGGUCUGUGAAUUCAUUGUUUUGUGUCACUCAGCAGUUAUUGUUUACUUCUCUUAAAUGAUACUCCCUUUGAUCCAAAAUAAGUGUCUUGGAUUUAGUACAACUUUGUAUUAAAGUUGUACUAAAUCCAAGACACUUAUCAAAGUUGUACUAAAUCCAAGACACUUAUUUUGGAUCGGAGGGAGUACAAAUCGUAAGCAUAUUCAGGUUUUGGUACCACUGACUUAUAUGCAUGUGGUCAAUUGUUUGUCACCCUAUGGGUUUAGCACAAGUUAUGUGGGCAAUUAUAUGCUCAAUCUUGCAAGCAUUAAAGCUCAAACUAUACUUGAUUAGCUAAUGUGAAUAUGUCUGCCCACAAAAAUCAAAAUUUACAAUGUACACAUCAAAAUGAUAGCUGUUGAUUAAGAGACAAAAUCACAUAAUUAACUACAAUAGUUACAGAGGAACCAAGUUGACAAAAAAAACAUAUCUUAUUAUAUCACUUUUAAUUAAGAGAGAUUUGCAGACAAAUUUACCUUGCACAGCAAGCAUUGGUGUGCCUCUUAUCAAUAUUAGUUUAUAACAUCAGACAAAGUGGUUAAAGGAACACAAAGCUGAUAUGGCCAUAGUCCAUCAGAUAAACAGGCACUACCUUCUGUUUCUUUUGAUAAUGUUGUAUUCUCUGAGGUGAAUUUGGAGCUAUCAUCAUUCAUCUUUGUAGUAUUAUCGUAAAAAAAAAUACUCUUCCCAUUCAUUGAAUAUUCAAUAGCUUUCUUUCAUCUCCACUAUCAUGUAAUUUCUGCAGGAACCACCAGGGGAUAUUUUGGUGUUUUUAACAGGCCAGGAUGACAUAGACGCUGCUCUUAAGUUGCUAAAUGAUGAAAUUCAACACCUUCGAAAACACUAUUUUGGUAACUCUUUUCCACAUACUCCCUCCCUCCCAAAUUAAACAUCGUUUUAGUUCUAUCUCGGAUACCAAGGAGAUUUAUUCGCUGGCUGCACGACGUUUACCAACGAGUAAUAUCGGUAGGUGGAAGGCAAAAGGUCUCUUUGGUCGGCAUGCAGAGAUGUGAACGCUCCUGCAUGCAGGACUCUGAGCCACUGCAUGGCCACGCAUGCAGCCGAAAGGCCUUUUUCUUCACAGUCUUAAUUAGUGUUAAGGGCUGGCUGGCCUCGAUUGCCUAAUACGACAUUUUUUCUGGGAAAAAUAAAAAAAUCCUAAAACGACGUUUAAUUUGGGAAGGAGGGAUUAUAGAAUAGUUAACUAAAAAAUCAUGUUCAUGUUUACGAUAAAAUAGGUUCUUCAAAUGAUGUCUGGUCCUUGCAAACCCAUGUAUUGCCAAAUCUUUUACCUGCUUGCGGUAGUAUAUUUUGUUUUCUAAUGCAUUCAGAUUACUUUAUUGUCAGAUUUGGUGAUUCUGCCUUUAUAUUCUGGCCUUCCACGUGGAGACCAAGUAAGUAGUCCUCACUCCUAAUUCAUGUUAUAAUAAAUUAUGUUGUCAUUAGAUGCCAUUCCAUGUUGAUACUAUCUAGUGUUCAUUGGCUUUCUAGGAUCUAAUUUUUGCUCCUACUCCAAAAGGGAAAAGGAAAGUUGUGAUAUCAACCAACAUCGCUGAGACGUCAUUGACUCUGGAGGUACUGCAUGGCUAUUCUCACAAAAUACCAUGUUGACUGUAACUGAUUUCUCUCAAUAUUGUGUAGGGCGUGGUGUAUGUUGUUGAUAGUGGAUUUUCCAAGCAGAAGUGUUAUAACCCGGUACAUUCUAUUCAUUCUAUUUUAAUAUUUCAAACUGGCUAUCCUAGAUGUAGCUUAGCUUUACUUUUGUUUCUUUUUCUAAUGCUGAAAUUUGAAUGCCGACUGCUACAAUAAUCUUCAAUCUGUGGCUUCUCAGUGCUCAUUCACUUGCGUGUCCAUCAGAAAACUCUUGACUCGCCAAUCUAGUAACUAACCUCUAUCUGUAAGAGCCAAUCCAGACGAGUUACUUAAGGAACCCUCUCUUUUUUUUCUUAUUAAAAUAAAUAUAGUGGAUCUGUUAAUAUUUGGAAGUUAUUUGUGACUGACAUUCCUGAUGGCAAGUGAAACCGAGAUCAAAUUGUUUGGUGUAAUUUUUUUCGUGUAGUUGUUUGGUCUAGCCUUUCUUGUCGCAGCUUAGCUCUAUUUCUUUUGCAGAUUUCUGACAUCGAGAGUUUAGUUGUUGCACCAAUAUCCAAAGCAUCUGCAAGGCAAAGAGCAGGCAGAGCUGGAAGGGUACGACCCGGGAAGUGCUUUAGGUAUGUUGAGCAGUUUUGUUAUUGAGCUUGUUAUUGAGAGCCUCCUCUAUGGCAGUCCUUGAUUUAUCAUUGUUCACCUUGGUGUUAAAUAUUGUGCCAUUUGUUUGCAUCUCAGAAGCUAUAUCUCCUGCAGGCUUUAUACAGAGGAAUAUUACCUAAAUGAAAUGCAGGCAGAUGGAAUUCCAGAAAUGCAAAGGUCUAACCUCGUUUCCUGCAUAAUACAGGUAUCUUGGCUGGUCUGUUUCGUGAUUCUUUUAGUUAUACUGUAAAAGGAUAAGUAGAUAACACAUACUCUAACAGCUCAUAUAUUAUUUUUUCUAUUUAUUCCCCUAUGUACCUCAUUUAUCAUUGACUCCCGCUGCAAGCCAAUAAGUGCCCGCACUCAUUUACUUCUAAAUCAACUUGGUUGGCCAUACACUAGAAACGAGAGCUCAUCUUGGUUGAAGUGCAGAAAUUUACAUGAGUUGUUUUAUGGAAUGGAGGGAGUACUUGCCAUAAUCUGCAUUGUUAUUAUUAUAAAAGAUGGUAGGCAAGCUUGCAACCAGUCACCCUACUUUUCGGUGCUUAUGCGGUACACAUGCACUUUUGUCACUUUUGGCUUUGUAUGAAUAAAAUUGCAAAAGACAUACGCAUGGCAUAUCGUGUCAUGCUGCAGUAUAAAAUUGUCUUCAUGUAUAUAUCGAAUAUACAAUUACCAAAAUAAUGUGUUAGUAAAUUUAAAUCUUUAUUGUUACUAUCUGCAACAUUAAUCUAUGGAAGUCAUUGAAGACACACUUACUAAUAAAAAAUAUAUUAGUAUCUCAUGUUCAUCAGCACAUCAACUAAGCUAGACUGUUAGGGCUUGUCUUCACUUCUGUCUAAACAACAACGAUUAGAACCGAGCAUCCCUGGAUGUUUAACUUAUGAGUUAUGACAAAUGUGUCAGUUUCUUGCAUCAUGUAUAAUUUCCAUAGUUUGCAAUGCAAUUAUUUAUUCUUACACUUGGCUUGCUGAGUCAUGAAACCAGGAAAAUGCUUCAGUUGCCCACAAAAAUGUAAUCCAUAAGAGAUACUGUAGUUUAUCAGGCACAAUCUCUUUGAAAAGUGUGCACUGAAGCAUGUCCUCCACAUUGAAUAUGAUUGAUUUAAUUAAUUUCCUGAGACAUACAAUGGAAAGUGUUGAUAGGGUUUUUGCACAUAAUGUAAUAUUUAUGAGCAAUUGUAUACCAUUUAUUAAAUUAUGUUCUCGGAUGACAGUUAAAAGCACUAGGAAUAGACAACAUUUUGGGAUUUGAUUGGCCAGCUUCUCCAUCACCCGAGGCAAUGAUUCGGGCUCUCGAAAUUCUGUUUUCACUUGGAAUCCUUGAUGAAGAUGCCAAACUAACAGUUCCCAUUGGUUUUCAAGUUGCUGAGAUGCCUCUGGUAUGUGUAUCUUAAUUUAUUUAUUUUCUGUUGCGUACAUAUUCUUGUUUUUUCCCCAACCUUUUACGGAAACGGAUCCGGGUGUAAAUGAUGUUUGCUACAUGCACAGACUACCGAGGCGUUCUGUCAUGACUAGUUGACUACUGAGUCAAAUGAUUUGCUCCUGAACUUGCCACGUGCAAGUUAGUCAUUUUCGCUAGCCAGUCUCAGUUCUGGGCUGUUCAUCUAUGAAAAUUUAAAUUAAUGGUAUACUUCUAGGAAAAACAUUGUGCAAGCCAUAGAAAUCUAGGUGAAAUGCUCAAAAUCUGACUAAAUUUUGCUGGGAGUUGGAGCUUUAGAGUGACCGAGCCGGUGACUGCCGGUUCCCAGCAGGAAAUUGCUAGUUAUGUCGGUAGCUUCUGACUGUGGACCAGGAAUUUGGACUUAUGGUUAUCAAAAUCAUGUAGUGAGUACCUAGAUUGCUGUUAGAUCUCAGUCUACAAGUAUAUACGAUGAAAGAUACUCAAAGUAAAAAAUAUAACAUGAUUAAGGUCAGUGUGACCUGAACGGAUCAAUAAGUUCAAUUGCACAGGACACUAUUUACUUAAGAAGAAAAAAGGCAUCCAUGCUUGUCGAAAUUACUAUUUUAAAAUGCUACAAGAAUACCUCUGAUAUUUUUUUUCUUUGUAGAUUGCUAGGUAAGGUUCAAAUAUUAAUUUACUAAUGUUAAUGUUCAAGAAUAUCGUCUGUACGUGUUUGCCUUGAAGACUUCUAGUUAUGGUUCAUAGUACGAUAUGGUUACAUAUUCUGAUGUAUCUGGUGCACCCAAAAUGAUUUUGACAUGCUUUACUUCGUGGCUAGCUUUAGGAACUCUAGUUCUUGCACCCUCUUGUUUGACGAGUUUGUCUAUAUUCUUACGAUGCUUUGUUGAUCUACUUAACCAUCAGGCAUAUAAUGUUACUCUGCUGAAUGUAGUUGAUGGUAACAUGUGAAAAUUAUGAUGCUUUUUUGGCCAUCUAAUUACUCUUUUAUGUCUAUUUACACUUGCACCAGCAUAUCCUAUUAUACUUGCACGAGCUAUGUACAUAUUUUUUUACUUACAUUUCUGGUGAAUAUCGCUCUCUUCUCAAGUUAAGAGGUUGUUAAAAAUACUUCUAUUUUUUUUGUAGGACCCCAUGAUUUCAAAAAUGAUCUUGUCAGCCAAUGAUUUUGGAUGCUCUGAUGAGAUAUUGACUAUAGCAGCAUUUCUAUCUGUUCAGGUUAGGGUUUUUAUAUCUCAUGCGUCCCUCUUUUUUUGUGCUAUAUUAAUUUAAUCUUUGAAUUGUUCUGACACCCGCCAAUUUAUAGUCUGUGUGGGUUUCUAUGAGGGGAGUGAAGAAGGAAUUUGAUGAGGCCAAACUUCGGUUUGCUGCUGCUGAGGUUCGUAAGAUCGCGUUGCUGCCAAAUUUGUUUGUUUACUUAGGAACCCUGAUGUUAGUUAGUUGUUAAUAUUGAAGCUCAUAUAGUGCUUAGUGCGGUCUAGUAUUAUAUGACAGACAUAGACCAUAUUACAGGAAUAUCAUGUCACUGAAAUCUUUGUCUUCAGUUCAGUUAGUUUAUGAUCAAAUUCUUAAAGUAGACACUAGACAAUUCAUGCUUUCAGAUUUGAGCAAAAUCCUUAAUGAAUAUUAUUCCGCUUAAACGCUUUCAUGCACUGAUCUUAUGGGCAUGCAAGCAGUAAGCUGGUACUGGUAACAGACCCUCUAGUUCAAGACCCAAUGACUUUUGGGUAACUUAGCAUUGGUGUUACUGAACAAAACAUGAAAAAUUAGAACAUGAAAAGGCUAUGACCAACACCAUCCCUAUUUAAGAGCCUCCUUCAUGUGUUUCUGCACAUGCAUGUGCAAAUUCUCAAAAGUGUGCUUGAUUAGAUUUGCUCUUGGUUGCUUCUUCAUCUUUGCUAAUGGUCUUGACUCUUUUAUAUAUACUGUAACACAGGGAGAUCAUGUAACGUUCCUGAAUAUCUACAAAGGAUUUCACCAGUCUGGAAAAUCUAGUCAGUGGUGUUACAAGAACUUUUUGAAUCACCAAGCAUUGGUCUGUGUUAUAUUGUACAAGGACAUAAUUAAUGUUUAUCAAGAAUACCUGCAUAUCCAAAGCAAUGUUCUCUUUUGUUGCACACCUCCUUUUUUUUAAUAAUGUUUUGUGCUCUUUGGUGCAGAAAAAGGUUAUUGAGAUCAGGGCGCAGCUUGUCAGGGUAAUGAAAAGGUUUGGCAUUCCGCUGAAAUCAUGCGACAGAGAUAUGCAGGUAGGAUGUUUCCAGUUUAAAUUAUUUUUUGUUUGAUACUUACGGCACAAGUUCUCUGUGCAUACUAGGGAUACUAGGGCUAAUGCCAUUGUGCAAAAAAGAAAAGGUUCUUAUCCCUAUGAUCCAUGUUAUCAUUUCUUAUAUCCAAUCCACCACAGACGGAUAAUAUAUAUACACUGCACAAUUUGGACAGUUAAGCAUCAGCACCACCCAGAUAGUUCAACUAAUUGCUUGUUUGUGGGGGGUUGGGCCUUUGGGGGGAUAUCUUGUGCAACAAUGAUUAGUCCAUAUUUAUUAUUUUAAAAUUAGUGUUUCCAGUGUCAGCUCUGUAUGAUAUUUUUCCCCAGUUCAUACUACAUAGUGAUGGAGGUGCUUAAAAUUAUCCUGCUUGAAUCAAUUAUUUCUGAUCUAUAAUGCCCAGAGAUUAUUGAACCUUUCAUGUGCUUAUUCUAGUUGCUCUGUUUCUCAACAUUUUGCAGGCAGUUAGGAAGGCCAUUAUUGCUGGUUCAUUUGCUAAUUCAUGUCAUCUGGAGGUAUUUUCUCAGAUAUUACAUUAUACGGCAGAUUUGAUGUUAUCAUACAUUACGUAGGCGAAAGCCUGUUUUCCCCCACAAAAGCCUGCUAUAUAUAAAUUGGUUGAUAGAAUUGUAUGAGCCCAGACUGGCCAAAAUAUCGGGAAUGAAAUUCCCCUGCAGCUAUCAUCCUAAGAUUAUUUUUGGUUCAGCUGGCCAGCACUCCUCACCCCACAAAAAAAGUCCUUUAAUUAUUAGACACUGGAAAGUGAUAGUUUAGGUUACAGAUGAGAAUACCAACAAGCACAUAAAGGGCAAAAGCCCUGGGAUGACCACACUUCCAAGUACUUAAAAACAAAACUUAACUUCUUUGUGGUUGACGUUCCCUUGCACAUUUUUUCAUUUAUCUUUAAGAAGCGCUGCUAUCCGCUGCAUGUAUGUAGUUGAUAUGUAAUUUGUCUGUCACCCUGCUGACUUUCUCCACUAUGCAGGAAUAUGGCCAGAAUGGAAUGUAUAAAACAAUUAGGACAUCGCAAGAAGUUUACAUCCAUCCAUCUUCCGUGCUCUUUAGGUGAGUUCCUUAAAAAUUUACUAAUAUUUGUUGGCUGUCUUUGUGGUAUAGUCCUUGUGCACUUCAUGACAUCAUUCUGAUAUUUCAGGGUUAAUCCAAAGUGGGUUGUCUACCAGUCUCUUGUUUCAACUGACAAGCACUAUAUGCGUAAUGUUAUCGCAAUUGAACCAUCGUGGCUUACCGAAGCUGCACCACAUUUUUAUCAAUACCGAACACCCAAUCCAGCUCCACACUAACUUUAUUGUAGUAACUUCUUACUCAACUGUGUUUACCCUCCAUUUAUUCAUUGUAACAAUGGUCUGAAGUUAAGUGCCCUGCUGCGCUGUGGGCAAGACUGAGGAAUUUCACAUUUUGUUGUGUUGGCUAUUAUACUUAAGGUUGGCUGGGGUUUCACCCUUUCUGUCAGUUCAUUAGUUCAGCUGGAAAGUAUAAAGAUCAGUGUAACCUGCUUUUAUUUUAAAUAUUAGUUGCUUUGAUGACAAUCAAUUGGGGCAAAGACAUUGAUUUGAUGUAUUUUUUAUAUGCGGAGAACUUCAUUUUCUAAGUGGCACGAUUUUGCCAAUGGAAAGGAACGAUCAUGUUUGUAUAUAAACUAAACUUAUGGUUAUUUUUUUUUCUGCCAUCUAUGCUGAAUAUUUGCUGAUAUGCGUCAUUGCAGUCUUACCAGGAGAUUCUUCAUCCUCUAUAGCAUGUCAUGGGCUCAUGGCACAGCGGGUAUCAGCUUUCUUAGCUUUCUUAACCGUUGAAUGCCUCUCAUUUUGUUACAAUCGUAGCUGCGUUUUUUCCUAACAUAUCUACUGUUGUCACCCGUUUUUCUGCCAAUAUGGUACCGCCAUUCAUUUUGUACGUACUGGUACUUGUCUUAUAAAAGGGUCUAACUUCCAGCUAACUUCCAAACUGUCUUUCUUCAUUCAUUCCCCUUUUGUUUUUUUCUCCAUCUAGAAGUAGAAUAGAAUAACCCGGUUGAAGGGUAUUGUGCAGCACAUGAAACAUAAAUAGUUUAAGUUAACUAGCUACUCUAAGUUUAUGAUCUGCACUUUGGGGUUUUCAGUACUCAUUACAUAGGACUUAAAAGGACAUAAUGACAUAUGUGGAUAUUGGUAGUUAUUCAGUGAUCAUGCGCCUAGAUUCUCUAGCAAUACUAACAGAUCUAGGUGAGGUAUGUAGCUAUCAACAAUUCGCUCUCUUCUAUUAGCUGACACAUAACCAACUCAGCCGCUGAUGUCUCUUCUUGUCUAUGGAAAAAAAAAACACCGUAAGUUCAUCUGGUAAUUAAGGUUUGAAAUAGCGUGCUAACAGAUUUAGCGGAGGCGGCCUCCAGAUGCUAUAAACACUAGCGUGCGUUACUUCAAAUAGCUUACUGCAAAAAAAAACUGCGAGAUAGCCCAAAAAUAAAAAAAAAUAAAAAAGAUUUCAACAGCUAAAACUUGUCUAUGAACGCAUAACCAACAAAAAAAAAUUCUCCAAUUGUCUACGGGACCAAAUCCAUGGCAUUAGCACAAAUAUGAGACAUAAAUUCAUAAACACGGUCAAGAUUAAAGGACUAAAUAGUUUUAAGGUAGUUACAUCUACAACCCACAAGGAGUGGUACACUACAUACUAGGACGUUUAGUGUGGUUCAGUGUCAGUACUUUGCAAACAGCGUUACAGCGAGCCAAAUUGCUUAAACGUAACGUGGCCUCUUCAGAUCCGCUAUAUCAAUGCUAAACCGCGCUAUUUUUUACUGGUUGAAAACAUGUCUUGUUUCUUCCUUGGGAAAUAACAUCGGCUUUGGCUGCAUAUCUUACUGUCAGCAUCUUUCGGAGACGGCUUUGGCUGCAUUUCUUACUGCCAGAAUCUUCCGAGUUUCCGGUUAUGUUCCAAGUUCAACUUUUCUAUCAGGAUUAUAACCACUAGAUUCUUAUCACUUUAGACCUUAUUUGGCACUGGUGUUUUUCAAAAUUUUAUCCCCUCAAAAUUCAAAAACACUAUAACCCCCAAAUGAUUUGUUUUGUAGGGGUGGAUUGCAACGGAUUAUUCCUAGAUUUCCGUACAAAACAUCUCAUUUUUACCAAUUAAAAACAUUUUUCAUACCAGUGUUUUGUAGUGGAAGGGGGUUUUCAGAGUAUUGAAUGAAUACCCAAUAUAGUAUACACUAGUGCCAAACAAAACCUUAGAAGAAACAAAACAUCGGCAAGUCAAGAAAGGAAGAAAAUAAGUUAUGUGUUUCCCUUGCAACAAGUGUUGGAGUUUCCUACGGUUGCGGUUUGUUCGGUUGCUAGUAAUCCCAUUUGGAUCCCAACUAUGUUUCUAGGUGCAAAACCCACGUGGAAACUCUCAUCGGGGAAAUGAGCGAGGUUUCCUUGGGUAGAGGAUCUACGUCUUCGUACUCAUGACGCGUGUUCCCACGUUGUCCUGCUCGUCCUUGAGCAGAAACAAAAAAAUUAGUUUAGAGAUUAAUGAGUAUUGUAUCAUCCUUUUUCUUUCGAUUGCAAAAUCUGAAGCAAAUAAAAUACUUGCUCCGAUACAUAAAAAGUGUCUUUCACUUGGUACAAAAUUUGUACUUACUUAGUAUAAAAUGAGCGACACUUUUUAUGAAUCGGAGGGAGUACAAUCAUUGACAAGUGUCUAUUGUUGGCAGGCUAUUUUUUUUUGCUUCUUUUACUCCUCCCCUUCUCUCUUGGGACAUCUAUGGCGUUCUUUUCUAUCUAAUCGAAUGACGAAAUCGACUGUCUUUUUUCUAAAAAAUAACAAUUGUCUGUGAUUGACUCUUAAUUAAUUAAAAAACAAAAGUUCAUAAUUAGCAUUUAUACAUGUGAUGGCUUGAAGUUAUGAUAGUGGCAUGAUCCGAAGGAUAUACACGUGAAAGUUUCCUCAUAACUAAGCAGUGUCAUCUAUUUAAAGAAGAAUGCUCGUGCAUAUAAUUUAGCAAUUUAUCUAGCAACAAACAAAAUCAUACAUGCGUUGGAGUUGGUCGUCGCGCCAUGGCUGGUAAGGUCAGGGAUAAAAGGAUGGGUACAAAAAAUACAUAGGAGGAGAAGAGUAAUUUCGGCAUCCCAAUGAUACGGACAUCUUUUUUUAACAGUGUGACUAACAAAAUGUGAUGGACAUACGGAUCUGACUAAUAGAAUGUGAUGGACAUUUGACAGUAGUGCUGCUUUGCGUCCAAAAACCAAAUUGUAGUUGUAUUUUGAAGAAAGCAAUUAUUUGAGUGGUAUUUGGGGACAUUUGGUUCUUUAUUGCUUCUUGGCAGUGGUAGCAUGGCAAUUCUCUAUUUACAGACGUCCUGAGCCAGUCGAACGUCCCGGAGCCAUCCCGGCCUCUCUCUCCUCUCCUGACCGCGCCGCGCGAGGCAACACGCCAGCACCCUACCGCGUGCGUCCCGUUCCGUAUUCCGAUCUCCCACGCCUUCGCCGCCGACGAGGUUGGUGGGCUCGACGAUCCGCGGACGCGACUGACCUACCCAACGCGACCACAAAGGUGCCGCCAUUACAAUUUUAUUAUUCGUUCCAUUUCCUAUCCGCGCCCCUGUCGCUGUCGUUUGAUCCGUCCCGUCUGUAUUGGUGGCAGGCUAGGGUUUCGCUCCGCGCGACCGGGGAUCGCGAUGGACAACAGGGAGAAGCCCCUGCCCGAGGCGGGGCAUCGGGGAGGCCCUGGCGGGGUCGCCGAGGAGGAAGCGGCGGCUGCGCAGGUCGGCGUCGACCCGGCGCCCGAUGUGACGGCGGCGAACGAGGGUGGUGGUGGCAGGAUCUUGGGUGGUGAGAAAGGGGACGCAGCCGAGGGGGUUGUGCAGGCCGAUGUGAAGCGGCCGCCUGGCGUGGGGGCGGCGCAGAAGGGUGGCGGUGAUGAGGUUGGCAAAGGUGACAUCAAGUCUGAGCCUGAUUCUGUGAGAUCGGAAUUUAACAGUAGCGCUGAUGGCUCAAUGGAUCCAUCGGCGGGCCAUGGUCACCAGGUCACUCAGAACAGAGCCGGGAAUGGGACACCAACUGCGGCUGAGUCCGACGAGGACGCUGAUCUCUUUGUAGAGGUAGAGCAGCAGGAGCUGGCUGGUUCAGAUCAGAGCGAGGAGUUUUUCGAUAAUGCAGAGGCUUUGGUGGCUGGAGAAUCUGUUGAUGUUGAGGGUGAUGCGAUUGAGGAUGGUUCACAUGCCGAGCUUCGUGUAGAGGAUGAUACCAUGCAUGAUGAGCAUCGGGAGCGCUUGGAGGAGGAAGCUAUGUUGACAGCGAUCAGGCAGUGUGUCACAGAUGCUGUUUUGGCUGAGCAUAUGGAGGAGCAUCCAGAGAAGGGUGGCGAAGAUGUUCCUGCAUGUGUUGGCAACCCUGACAUCCCCGUGAGUUCUAGUGGUGAACCUGAGCAUAUUAAAGAAGUUAAGUUGGCUGAUCAGAGCACAGAGCAGCCAGAAUAUAGCGAGGGAGAUAUUCCUACCCGUGAUAGCAAGCUUGAGGUACCUGCACAAUUUGGAGGUGAACCUGAUGUGGUGGUCGAGGAAUUGGCUGACUCAAACUCCUCUGAUGAUGAAAAUAAGGGUAGCUCUGCUUCUGCACGACCCUCUAGUGCUGCUGCAGGGCAUUCUAAUGGAUCCUCUUUACCUUCUCGCCCUGCUGGCCUUGGAUCAUCGACUUCCUUGUUACAACCUCCCGCUCGACCGGUUCAGCAGGUCCGUGCAAAUGGCCCGGUAGGUGUGGGAAGGGACACGCGGCAGGAUAUCGAAUCUGCUGGGGAUGACGGAGAUGAGAAUGAUGAAAUCCGUGAGAAACUCCAGAUGAUACGGGUUAAGUUUUUGCGUUUUGCUAAUAGGUUUGGGCAAACGCCUCAUAAUAUGGUGGUCUCACAGGUUCUUUACCGGCUCGGGCUGGCAGAACAGAUCAGAAGCAAUACAAAUACAGGUCAUGGUGUUUUUAGCUUUGACCGAGCACAAGAGAUGGCGGAGCGUCUUGAAGCUGCCGGAAAUGAGCCCCUUGAUUUGUCUUGCACUAUCUUAGUUCUUGGUAAAACUGGGGUCGGUAAAAGUGCUACUAUCAAUUCGAUAUUUGAUGAUGUCAAGCUGGAGACAGAUGCUUUUGAAUCCAGCACUAGAAAAGUUCAGGAAGUAGUUGGGAUGGUUGAGGGAAUCAAAGUAAAAGUGAUUGAUACACCUGGCCUUUCAUGCUCAUCUUCAGACCAACACUACAACCAGAAGAUUCUCAAUUCCGUGAAGAGACUUGUCAGCAAAAGUCCUCCUGAUAUUGUUCUUUAUUUUGACAGAUUGGAUAUGCAGAGCAGGGACUAUGGUGAUGUCCCUCUGCUGCAGACCAUUAGCAAAAUAUUUGGAGCCUCGGUUUGGUUCAAUGCCAUAGUCGUGUUAACUCAUGCUGCAUCAGCACCACCAGAUGGGCCGAAUGGUAUUCCUCUUAGCUAUGAGAUGUUUGUCACCCAGAGAUCCCAUGUAGUCCAGCAAGCUAUAAGGCAAGCAGCUGGCGAUGUUCGUCUUAUGAAUCCAGUCUCCUUGGUGGAAAACCACUCAGCGUGCAGGACAAAUAGGGCAGGCCAGAGAGUGUUACCAAAUGGACAAGUCUGGAAGCCACAGUUGUUAUUGCUCUGCUUUGCAUCAAAGGUUUUAGCAGAGGCCAAUGUGCUUCUCAAGUUGGAGGAUAGUCCCACUGGUAAACCUUCUAAUGCGAGGAUUCCCCCGCUUCCUUUCUUCCUUUCUUCACUUCUUCAGUCUCGAGCCCCAGUGAAGUUACCGGAGGAGCAGUUUGGUGACGAUGAUGAUCUUGAAGAUGUGGUAGAUGAUUGUGGUUCAGAUGAUGGUUCAGACUAUGAUGACUUGCCUCCUUUUAAGCGCCUUGCGAAGUCUCAACUUUCAAAGCUGAACCACGCACAGAGGAAGGCAUAUCUUGAGGAGCUAGAUUACAGAGAGAAGCUAUUCUACAAAAAACAGCUGAGAGAGGAACGGCUGCGUCGUAAAAUGAUGAAGAAAAUGGCAGCAGAAGCCAGGGCUCGAACAGAUGAUUUCAGUAACAGCAAUGUUGAUGGUGAUGACAGUACUCCAACCAAUGUUGCUGUGCCUAUGCCCGACAUGGUAUUGCCCUCAACUUUUGAUUCUGACUAUCCUAGUCAUCGCUACCGUUUUCUGGAUACGCCAAGUGAAUGGCUUGUCAGGCCUGUGCUGGAGACCCAGGGCUGGGAUCAUGACGUUGGUUAUGAAGGUCUAAAUAUUGAAAGAUUAUUCGCUGUCAAAGGUAAGGUCCCUUUAUCUGUGUCUGGACAACUGACAAAAGACAAGAAGGAUAGCUCCCUGCAAAUGGAGGUUGCAAGUUCAGUUAAGCAUUCCGAGGGUAAAACAACUUCACUCGGACUUGAUCUGCAGUCUGUUGGCAAGGAUAUGGCAUACACUAUUCGUGGCGAGUCGAGAUUCAAGAACUUCAGGCGCAAUAACACAGCUGCUGGCAUAUCUGCUACGCUCCUUGGAGAUUCUGUAUCAGCUGGUGUGAAGAUUGAAGACAGACUGAUCGUGAACAAGCAGCUGCGGCUUUUAGUAAGUGGUGGCGCUAUGAGCGGGAAAGGAGAUGCAGCUUAUGGUGGCCGCCUCGAAGCAACACUGAGAGACAAAGAUUACCCAAUAGGGCGUAUGCUUUCUACUCUCGCGAUUUCGGUUGUAGAUUGGCAUGGGGAUCUGGCAGUUGGUUGCAAUGUCCAGUCUCAGAUUCCUGCUGGAAGAUCUAGCAGCUUGAUUGCCAAUGCGAAUCUAAGCAACAAGGGGACCGGGCAAGUCGGCAUUCGCCUAAACAGCUCCGAGCAUCUCCAGAUCGCACUCAUUGCCUUUGUGCCUAUAUAUCAGAACAUCAGAAAGUUAUUAGAGAAGUACUCUGAAUCUGCCUAGUAUUAACUAUCUUUAUAGGCCUGAAGCGACAGCGACAACAGCACAAAGCAUAAAUUGGAACGAUCUAUUUACUUCUUUAUUCAAUCUUUGCCAACUUUGUAAAAAAAAUUUAUCUCCUUUAGCUCGAUUUGAUGAAAUUGGAUUUUCGAAUACAUCCUCUGUCAAACGCUUUCUGGUAUUAUCCUCGCUGUUUUCAUACCUGUCCACCAGUCGCUGGUGCCCCCCUUCUCAUACACAAAUGUGCUGGCACUGCAUACCUGUUUCUUCCUGAUAUCUGAGUUUUUCUGCAUAUUACCAAAAAUGCACUAGGGGUAUAAUAAUUUUGAACAACAACCCAGUUUCUUAGCCGUGUAAACGGCAAAGCCUCUGUUUGUGACUGCUGAACUGUGUGCGUGGCAAACAUGACUACAAGAAUCCAACAAGAAUAGAGGCUAAUUUCACUUUCGUGCCAUUUGUACAUUUUAUGCUGUCGCUUCUGCUGUGAGGUUAUAAUUUCUAUCUUUGGUACCUUUCCUGUGGUAAUUCAAGAACAAGUAAUAUCACCUUUCUUUUCCUGCUUGGAAACUGAUUUAUUGGAUUUUUGGGGUAAGGGGUUAACUACCUCUAGCUUGGAUGUUAGAAAUGUUUGCUGAGAAAUAAUCUUCUAUAUCUAAGUAGGAGAACCCCACUACUUGAUUUCUCUCAACAUGCAAGCAUGCCACAUUAUCACAUCAUUAAUUUGUUCACACCUAUUUAGUGAGAAACUCAUAUUUUUUGCACAUGCAGGCAUGCUGCUUCUAUCAAGCUAUCCCCACUUAGUGAAGAAUCUAUCGUGCAAUUUCAUUAUAUGUUUCAUAUUGUGGAUAAUCUUUUGUUGCUACUCAAGUUCACUCACGUAUGUUAAAGUAAAAAUUUCCGCAACGUGCGGGGCAUCAUCUAGUUCUGUACAAAUGAGGAGACAUCUAAUCUGACAAAUAAUUCUCCCGUUCGGUUUACUUUUCCUUUUUACAUCAAUGUGGUUUAGUUGUUUAAUUGAUUGUGUCGUGUGGUUGUAAAUUGAUAGAGCUGUGCAACAAAUGAAACUUCUGAUGCUACUUGGUACUGUUUUAUCCGAAAGAAUUAAUAUGGUCUGUCAGUAUUGAACCAGUCAUGGCCAAACAAAUAUAUAGCAGUGAACAAUUAUGGGAACUUGGUUGUAAGCUGAGUAUUUCCUCCUACUUGUUUAUUGGCCUCAGAUCCUCAUAUAUCCAAUAUUGUGACAGGAAGAUGGUCUUGCCCGGAUGUUUUAUGCCUUUAAAUCCACAUGGGACUACAGCCUCUGUGAGUAUGCCUCUCAAUCCUCCCAUUUGCCUCCUUCAUCUGUGGUUGGAUUUUUUUUACGCAAGGUGGGAGCUCUCCACUUCUUGGUCGGCUUCACUGGCUCGAUGUGGUGACUCUCAUGGAUUCACAGAGACUACCCCAAAGCAGUGGCUCCGUCACACUGAUUUGGAUGGUUGAGCGAUGCUGCCAGAUCCUCACAAAGUGUAUCUUGUCUAGGUGGCUUGCUACUGCAUGCUCGAGAGACCCACAGCUUGCAGGUUCGAGUCCCACCAUCCAACCUAUUUUGUAUUCUAGAAGGAAAAAAAAUGCCAAUCUGCCAAGCUACUGUGCUGUACUGGCUGCAGCACCUGUGCGCUCACUCCCUCAACUCCGUGCUUGUGCUCCAGGGCAACUCUCCCACUAAUCCACCAAGGACCAGGUAACACAUGACUGUUUGUUCUCUUAUUGCAUCUUAGUGUAUCUGAAUGGAUUUGUGUAUCUGAAUAACCAUGUAAUGGAUGUCUGCUCCUUGCAAGUUCGUGUCCUUGUCAAAUUUCAUUAUUUGCUUGCGAUGGUAAAUGGUGAUCUAGUGCAUUCAGAUUUCUUUGAUUACCAGAUUUGGUGAUUUUCCUCUUGUACGGAGACCAUGUAUGCAGUCCUCAUCAUUAGUGUUAUAAUACAAUAUGCUGUCAUUAGUUGCCACUGCAUGUUGACACAAUCUAGUGUUUUCUGGCUUUUUCUAAGAUCUCAUUUUUGCUCCUACUUUGAAAGCGAAAAAGAAAGUUGUACAUGUCAUUGACUUUGAGGUACUGCAUGACUACUCUAACAGAUGCCAUUUUGAUUGUGACUGAUUUAUCUGAAUGCCAUGUAGUGCGUGAUGCAUGUUGUUGAUAGUGGAUUUUCCAAGCAGAAGUGAUAACCCGGUACAUUAUCUUCGUUCUAUUUUUUUUCUUCAAUCUGGCUAUCAUAGAUAUAGCUUUACUUUCGUUUCUUUUCAUAGUAUAUUUUUGUGUGAAAUCCUGAAAUUUGAAUGCCAACUGCUGCAAUGAUCUUCAGACUGUGGCCUGCUAGUUCCCAUUCAAUUGUGCAUCCAUAAGAAAACCCCUUGACUAGUUGACUUGCAAUCCAGUAACUAAUCUCUAUCUGUAAAAGCAAUCCAGAUGAGUUAAUUAAGGACCGUUAUCAUUAUUUGCUUAUUGGAAAUAUAAUGGACCUGUUAAUAUUUUGAAGUUAUCUAUGACAUACUUCAGGGCUAACACAUUACUUGUGGCAUUGACCCUCAUCCAUCUUUAAGCUGGACUGAGCAAUCAAAACCGAGAUCAAAUUGUUUUGCUGUAGUUUUUUCUACCAUGUUUGCUUCGUUUGGUCUUCUUUGUUGCAGUCUCCUUUCGCAAAUUUCUGACAUCGAGAAGUAUAAAGUGUUGAGCAGUUCCGCGUUAUUGACGUAUAAGGUGAUGGUUAUGUUGUAUGCCGUGCUCAAUUGUGGUGAUUUUGAGCAAUUUACUGAUUGGACCACGUUUGGAGGGAAAAGAAUGCAAGUGCUUAUUUGAAUAAUUAUCCUACUCGUAUAUAUGUCCCUGUGAGAUGACAUUGGUCUGAUGAAAUGGGAUUCAACUUGGAUUUUCUUCUCUUGUUCUUUUUAGAGAAAUUACAUUUUCUUAGGGCACAAUCUUGCAAAUGGAGAGAAUUUUACAUAUGAAUAAACUUAUGGCUUUCCUAUUCCAUUAAUGAUACAAGCCUUUAUUUAUUUUCUGUUAUCUAUGCUGAUAUGCGACAUGGCGGUCCUUGUGAUGUUCCAAGUUUCAGUUUGUCCAUCUACUAGGUUCUUGUCACUUUAGAAUAAGCAAAGCAUCGAGAAAGUCAGGAAGGGAAGAAAAAAGGUUCUGUGUGCCCCUACCAAACUAAUUUUUGGGGUUUGCUACUGCUGGAAACUGCUUCCACCUUUUUUGAAAAGUGGAGGAUCUAGCAGACAGAUUAAGAGAUUAGGAGCUAUGUCUUCAGCAUAACGCAAAGAACAGUUAGAUUCGGUAGGACCUAAAAACCUCGGCAGUCAGCAUCGUAUCUAAUAACGUGGUGAUAUAAGAAUGCUGCCUCCCUCUGUCGCCGAAAACGGAAAGGAAUGCAAGAGUUCCUUCAGACCCGAGGCCCAUAGGGCUGAUUUUGGGCUCAAAACCAACCUCCAUAACAAGAUUUUGGAUACUUUGCAGCUGCGAAUUUGCAUAAAUGCUACAGGGACGACCAGGUUAAUUUACAAUUGUCAUAGUUGGCUAGUUGCUGUCAGAUGAAGAGCUCUGCCUUCAGCUUAAGGUAAAGAACAGUUAGAUUUGGUAGGUCCACAAAUCUACGAGGCUCGGUAUUCAACACUGUAUCUAACGCUCCUCUGAUUUAAAAUGACACUUGCCGAAAGGUAAAGGAACACGAAUUGUAUAGCCUCAAACUUUACAAAAAAGUACUCCGUAACUGUCAACUGUUUGUUCAGGGAGUUUGGAUCUCCACUUUGUCCUGCCAGCAAGUCAUAUCUUAUACAACGGUAUACAAUUGUCUUGGCCAUAUUUUGAAUUGAAUCCUACUUUGUUCUUCUUGGAUUCCGCGUACUAUAUACUUGAACCCAGGAGUACCAAUCAAUGCGUUAGCCGAAAAGGAUACCAUAUCCUGACCUGGUGUCUACGUGUUGUACUAUAGACGUCAUGAGUAGAACCGAUCAGUGGCCGGUCAGCCAGGGCAACUGGGCAACGAUGAUCUCCGUGCGAGCAAGCUACGAAGGGUUUUGUCCACGGCGAUGCUGACCGUCGCCACGUCCCCCUCGGCGUAAACACCGCGGGCGGUUCGCCGGCCAAAAAGUACAAGCAAACGCGGUGACUCGCGCGGCGGACACGCGUAAGGAGUUAGCUGAGCUUGAGUCUCCACCUCUCACCGAGGGAAAAGAAGACGUGAUUGUGACAUUAAUUCCUUGAAAAUAACCACUGCCGACAGUCGGGUGCGUAUCUUUCUUUGAGGUCACGAGGUAGAUCUGGUUCCUUCGGUGAUGGUUAAUACAGUAAUCUGUGGGAGCUGAUCGUUCCAUAUUUUGUUGUUUUUCAAACCAGGGUGAUCCAAUCGCCCACUUGCACGUGGUCAUUCAGAACUUCAGGUGCGGUACACUGUAUUGAAUAAUGAAGGAUUGCAAUUUUAAAAGUUAUCUGUUUUGUUUUGUUUUUCAUAAAUCCAAGUUCCAUUCGUCAGUCUUUUGGUUCUAUCCGAGGACACCGAGUAUUUUGUCUCGAGAAAAAAAAGGUCGGUUCUCGAUUAAGGAUUAACAGGAAUACAUAUCGGUGGAGAAAACGCGGGCAUUCCGCGGAUCAACUUUUUCUCCCGAGCUGCUUCUUUCUUUAAAGCCGCGACAGACAAAUUAGUUUGUUAGUCGGAAAGCCUGCGAGCCUUUUCGACAUGCUAAAAUCUGUCUAAGCAAGCCGUACAUUCCCACUAAUUCAUUCUAGUCAGAUACAGGUCAGCGUCGCCCACGAUAUCACUGUGAUGUAGAAAGGCGAUAAAGACGUCUUCUUUCUUUAUUUCUCCUUAUUAAAAACAUUGUUAAAGGCGAUACAGACUUGGCGACGAUAGAAAGCCACUAGGUGUCCGCAGCAUGUCGACUGUCGUGGCAGCUUGUGUUGAUCUAUCAAUAACGGGGUUCGUUAAACAUAAAAUCGAGCCUAUCCAGAUCUGACCGGGCAGUGGACUCGGCUGAAAUAAACCCCGGUUGUGAAAGGUUCACCUUGGAACCAUCGGAAGCUCAGCUCUGGGGUUGGUUGGGUUGUGGGGGAGGGCAUGUGACAUGUAUGACUUGAGAACGUCCCGUGCCACAAGUUAAGACCUCAAAUUGCGUCCAAAAAUACAAAACCUCGGGCAUAGAAGGAGGCAAGCAAUUGAUGGUGCUGCCCUUUUGGCCGGUGCAUCUACACCUAGACACACGAUCUGAUCACUCUCUUGAACUAAUUAUUAAAAGAAUAAAUUGCCCCUGAUUGUAUUGUUUACAUAUAGUACAAACAGAUCGCCCACACCUAGGUGAGUCUUGGGCCAAUCAGCUGCAAGACGUUUUUGUUCCGGCAAGUGGAGUAGUAUUCAAAUCGAAGAAGGCUCUAGCCUCUAGGGACCAGUCGUUCUGCACUUGCAAGAACAAUUGAUUUUAGAGUACGUUUUAUUGCACUGUGCUCGCACGCGUACAAAACGUGUAUUGAUGGUCUGCACGACCUUUACCCCAUCGGUGUUCUUAUAAUCGCAAUUCGUGGUUUAGAUAACAGUCUCCGGCUGUCUAUCAAACUUUGAUGCGGUUCAAAAAUAAUUUUACUUUUUGCUAUAUCCAAGUCAGUCUUAUUUUUAGUCAGUGAUAAUUGAGUGCUUGGUCGUUGGAUCUAACGGAUCGUGCUUUAAGGUUCGGGAUGAGUGACAAAGAAGAGGAAGUAGUGAUGAUGUCAGAUACAGAUCCGAUGUUUUUAUACUAUAUAUCGACUGAGAUUUAACUUUUUCCUUAGUUAGAUGUCUUAGUAUACACACCCUAAUUCUUAAUUGCAACGCCCGGCUUUGGGAGGAUGGAGCUGGCUCCUUCCCCUCCCGCGACGGCGGGGCGGCCGGCGCCACCACCACCCACCUCCUCCCCCAGCCCCACACACCAAAUUAGCCCCUGACUUUUCCCCACCCCGUCGACCUGGUCCACCCCUGUGCGUUUCUCCUGGGCGGACGCCUGCGAAGAGGAAGAAGGCGAGUUCAUCCCGGAUUCGCCGCCGCUGACCCUGGGAACGCGGGCCCAGAUCCAGUCCCUUGGUCCGCAGAUCGACGUUGCUGCUACUCGGAUCUAUAUUCCCCCGUAGAGAAGAUCCGCUGGGCAGGAUGCUGCACUUCUCCCUGCUUUCAAUGCGGGAUCUGCGUGCAGAUCUGCAUUCAAGGCCGCUCCCCUGCCUCCUCCCCCGGCUGGCCUUCCUCCCCGCGGACAACCGCGUCUCUUCAAUGCGGGUGGGCCGGCGCCCUCCGGGUCCCCACCUGGCGGCCGCUGGGUGCUCCCUCCUCCACCGACGGACCGGCCUCCGCGAGGUCAACCCCGCUUUCACCUUGCGGGGGGCUCGAGGGUGCAAUCGAGUGCCUCUCCUCGUCUGGUCACGUCGGUUUUGAAGCGACAAGACAGCGCCUUCAAGGCGACGCCUGCCAUUGAUGGCUGGCAGAUGGUUAGGCGGGUGCAUUGGUGGUGCCGGGAGCCCCGAGGAGGCGAACAGUUGGACUCCACCGCAAAGAAGAAGGAACGCCUCGCUGCGCUACUUAAGAGAAUGCGUGGGAGAUGCUUCCGAUGUCUGAGUUCUCGCCACUUCGCCUCCCACUGCCGUGAGCCUCGACACUGCUGGAGGUGUCGCCGCCCCGGCCACAUCGAAUCUGAUUGCCGGGCCGCCCCGGCCUCCCCCCUCCAUGCCGUAAGACCCGUGCCACCCCCGUCACCCCCCUCCACUCCUACACCGACGUCCUGAUGGCUGGCGACGGCGAUUUCAAGGAUAGGCCGGAGGAGGACACCUGCGUCGUCGCGCUGGACCAGGAGAUGAUCACGGCGGAGCACUCCUUCAACACCCACGCCGUUCUCGUCAACAUCGGCGGGGACCGCCCGCGUACGGAGCCACGCCAUGUCGCCGACGUCCUCUGUCAGGUGCUCAACAUCACCCUCGAUGAGGUGAGGGUCGCGCCUCACCUGUCGGAAGACUUUUUCGUCUUCUUCACCGAGCCGACUGUCCGUGAGGCUGCCGUCGACAAGGAGCGCUUCCAUCACAAUGGCAGGGAGUUCACCAUUCUGCCUUGGGCAGUGGAGCGCCACCCGGAGUGGAUCUCGAUGCCCUACCACGUGCGCCUCUGCGUGGAGAACGUGCCGGCUCACGCCUGGACGAUGAAGACGGCAACGAGCAUCGUGGGGCGCCGCGGCAAGGUCCACUUCGUCGAAGACCAAUCUCUUCGCCGGGAGAACUUGACGACGUUCAACUUUUGGGUUUGGACAGCCAACCCGGCGGGUUUCCCUCGCCGGUGCCGUCUCACGCUGAUGGACAACCGCGACGAAGCCCGCUCCACAACGCCUUUGUUCAUGCCGGUCGUCGCCCACGACACCCCCGCGGCCGGCCUCGAGGGGCGGCGUUCCCGGCUCAUCGUCCACAUUGACAUCGUGGAGGACCUCACCACCCUCACCCUGGAGCGCGAGGGUGGCGUGGCGCCACCACGCGGACGACGCGUCAUCCAGGGCGGGAGUUCGGGCAGGGCGACUCCGAUCGCCGCGACAACAGACGCCGCCCGCCUCCGCCCACACGCAACUGCAAGGACGGCGCCAAGGACGUUUGGCGCGACGACAGGGACUGCGACGGGGACAGAGACGGGCGCAGGGACCGCCCUGGCCGCCGGGAUGGGCGCAAGGAGGCCCCCUCUCGCCGGGAGUGGGUGGCGCCUUACCCGCAACGACGCGUUGUGGUCGACGACAACUACUCGCGCCACGGUGGGCACCGCCUCGCCUCUUCGGUGUGACCGGGGCGACGGGGAAGAAGCGUCUUCACUUCACGCGCCCCUGCUCGCCGCGCCGCCUCUGCCGUUGCAGCUCUGGGAUGCCGGCCUUCGGCCACGGAGCGCGGCCCUCCACCGCCACCGCCACCUGACACCUCGCCGAUGAUCUCGCCACCUGCCUCCCCGCCACGGGCUGCGGAACCGCUGCUGCCGAGCCUGGCCUCGGGCAGCCACCCGACGUCGGGAAACCCGCCGCCCUCCGUCACCGACCUGUACCUCUGCUCCACGCCGGAGUCUAUGCCUGCGACGCGCCCUCCACUGCUCGACGACUUCAUCAACACCAUCACCACGAAGCUGCCGCAACCCAUCCUUCCACUCCCGACUACCUCCCCGGCGGUCAUCGAGCCGACCCCAGAGCUGCGCCGCAGCGCCAGGUUGGCGGCUCGUUCGGCUGGCCUCACUACGGAGAUGGCGGCACAGGCCCUGGUCUCGCGCCGUUUGGGAUCCCUUCCUACAGUGGCUUCCUUCGAUGAUCGGGCCAAAGAGGCAUACCUGGCCCUCUUUGCGACCCUGCUAUCCGACCUGGUGAUUGCGGCGAUUGAAGAUCUUGUGAAGGAGGCCAAGAAGACGAAGAAGCUCCCCCUUGGCUCGGGCAUUGGCCGUGGACGUGGGCACGGCGCCGGGCGUGGCCGUGGCAUCCCCAUCGUUUAGAUGUUGCCUCCCCUUCACUCCGUUGUCUGGUCGUCUCGCAUGUCUCCCAUGUCGCCUAGCGUCCUUCUCCGUCAGUCCUCGUCGAGUUUUGUUUGCAACUGCAGUAGAUGUAGGGUUAGUCGUCAGCCUCUCGGAAGGCCUAUCUGUAUCAACUGGUUAUCGUCGAACUUCUUUGUGAUGUCUCUGUGGUGUCCACUCCUGCCUGGGCUCCGCCUCACCGAGGCUGGUGGGCCUCAACUAGGCUGAGCUGGGCUACACGGUGUGUGACCUCUCCUGCCUAGAGGCCCCCUUCUCCAUCAAGGAAAUCCGGGCGGCGAUGUUUGACCUUCCCCGAGCCCCGACGGCUUCAUUGGGCUUUUUUUCCGCGACUGUUGGGACAUCAUCAAGGAGGAUCUCAAAUUUGCCAUUGACGACAUGGCCAACUUGGGGGGCAUAUCUCGAGCCUCGUCAACUCCGCCAAUGUGAUCCUUCUGCCAAAGAAGGGAGACGCAACGACCAUCCGAGACUUCAGACCGAUUAGCCUCAUCCAUAGCCUCGCCAAGAUCUUCUCCAAGCUUAUGCCUUUGCGACUUGCCCCACUCCUCCACGACAUCGUUUCGGCCAACCAAUCGGCGUUCGUCAAGAAACUGUGCAUCCACGACAAUUUCGUCCUCGUCCAAGGUAUCAUCCGUGGCAUGCAUCACAGGCGUGAGGUGGGAUGCUUUCUCAAGUUGGACAUCUCUAAGGCUUUCGACUCGGUCUCCUGGCCUUACCUUCUCGAGGUUCUCGAAACCCUUGGCUUUGGGCCACGGUGGUGUCAGUGGGUCGCCAUGCUUUUGUCCUCCGCGUCCUCCCAUAUCCUCCUCAAUGGGGUCCUAGGGACAACGAUCCGCCACACUCGCGGGCUCCGGCAGGGCAACCCGCUCUCCCCCAUGCUGUUCAUCAUCGCCAUCGAUCUGCUCCAUCACAUCCUGCGUCACUCCGCGGACGCGGGGAUCAUUAGGCCUUUUCGUGACGCGCAAGUGAAAGUGCGGGUCUCCCUUUACGCCGAUGAUGCCGGCAUCUUCACCAGCCCUCACGUCGACGACCUUGUGGCAAUCAAUCGGCUCCUUCAUAUUUUCGGCGACGCCUCAGGCCUUCGCACCAACCUCGAGAAGUCAGAGCGCUUCCUGAUUGGAUGCAGCGAGGAGCAGGCUAGGGACGCCCUCGAUGCCUUCCCGGCCAGAAGGGGCUCCUUCCCCUGCACCUAUCUUGGGCUCCCGCUCAGCCCAAACCGCCUCAAGUCAGUGGCAUUCCAGCCUCUCAUCGACAAGAUCGGCUCCAGACUCGCGGGGUGGAAGGGGCGGCACUUCACCAAGGCCGGCAGAGUGGUGCUUGCCAAGUCGGUCCUCUCGGCAAUGGUAACGUACCACCUCACGGCCUUCUCCAUUCCGGCCGGCAUCCUCAAGCAGAUCAACAAGCUCAUCUGCUCCUUCAUCUGGAUGCACCAUGGCUCCCCGGGACAACAACAUUCCUCGCUCUCGCUCGUCAACUGGGGCUCGGUGUGCCGCCCCAAGGAGCUGGGAGGUCUCGGCAUCCCAGAUCUUUGCAGAUUUGGGAGGGCGUUGCGCCUCCGUUGGCCGUGGUUCUCCUGAACUGAUCCUGGCUGGCCUUGUUUCGGGCUUCCACCAGGAUCCAACUCGGGAACGGUGCCAAGACCCUGUUCUGGCACGAUGCCUGGCUGCUGGAUGGGCAGAUCGCCAGCCAGCGCUGGCCGGCUCUUUUCGCCAUCGCCUCGCGGAAGAAUCGCUCCGUCCAGAAAGAGCUGACCUCCCACAAUUGGAUCUGUUCUCUUCUUCGCAUCUCCACGCCUCGACAGUUGACGACCUUUGUGGAACUUUGGGAGGCUUUGCGUGGGAUCACCCUCUCCGACACGGCCGACUCCAUCACUUGGAAGUGGUGCACCUCGGGUGCCUGCUCUGCGGCCUCGGCAUACAAGGCUCAAUUUCACGGCUCCUCCCCCCCGUUUGCGUUGACCAAGAUCUGGCGGGCUCAGGCGGAGCCGAAGGUCCGCUUCUUCGCCUGGACAGUGAUGCACGGAAAGAUCUUGACGGCUGACAACCUAGCCAUUCGUGGAUGGCCUCACAACCCCAUUUGCCAGCUUUGUCGCAUUCAUCCUGAGUCUGUUUCCCACCUUUGCCGGGACUGCUCCUACACGAAGGAGGUGUGGGUGCUCAUCCAAACCUGGGGUGAUCACACACCCCGGGCUCCUCCCCCUGACUCCUCCAUCGAUGCCUACUAGGAGGCCCUUAUCCAUGGAAGCCCCAAGGCGACGAAGCGGGCCAUUAGCGGAAGUCUCUUGUACACGUGGUGGGGGGUUUGGAAGGAGCGCAAUAGGCGCAUUUUCAAGGGGGCCGCGAUGCCCAUCCUUGAGGUUGCCCUCCUCAUUUGGGAGGACAUCCGGGUGCGGAUUCGUGCGUGUUUGGCUGAUCCAGGAGAUUAAGCUUUUCUCCCUUCCAUUUUUUUCUUUCUUUUCUGUUUUCCUUGGAACCCUCCUUGGAUCCUUUUGUACAGUAUUCCUUCUUCUAAUCGAAUGACGGAGUCCGACCGUCUUUUUCUCAACAAAAUAAAUUUAAUUGCAACGUCCCAACGGUUGGCCAAUGUAAUUGAAAUUGUGAGAGUUGGACCAUGAGCUCCCAUAGCCAUGAUCUCUUGAUUGUAACGGUUUAGCUAAAAAAAUCGCAUGUUUUAGUUAGAGAUAAGUCGGCAUGUCUAUCGAUUGGAUCUUAAUCCAAUAACAUCACGUGGGAGAAGGAAUGGGAAUGACAUCGAGAUCUUAAUGUUCUCAUACUUCAACUGAGAUUUCAGACUCUUUCUUAAAAAUCAGGCAAUCGAGAUAUACUCCAUCUGAUCCUAACUUUUUGUCGUGGUUUUAGUUUAAAUUUGUACUAGAACCACGACAAAAAUUUAGGACGGGGGAGUAGCAUGCAUCCUAAUUUCAACUCUAUGAAGCAAACAUAUAAUUUUACAGGUUACAACCCUAAAACUAAGGGAGACAAUUUAUCUUGGUAAUCAUGUCACCGCGUUGGAUCUCAUAUGGAUCUGCCUCUUCCCAAUCCGAGCAGCCCCUUCCCGCAAUGAUCCAAAAAAGGAAACUGAAAUAGAACUAGUACGGAGCAAAUACAAUUUCCCAAUUAAAAUAUCUCUCAGAUCGCAGCAUAUAAGGCUACGCGCACCCACCCAAACCUUCGCACCACUGCCGCACGACGCCCCUCCGCUCUCACCUCCGCCGUCGCAAUGGCGAUUCGCCGGCAGCGCCGCCCCUUCCCGCUACUCCCCCUCCUCAUCUCCCUCCUCGCGGCCGCCGCCUAUGGCCGCCUCAUCUCCGACGGUUCGCCCGCCUCCACGGCCUCCUCCUCCAUCCUCAUCGCCUCCCCCGUGUCGUCCUCCGACGUGAUCCGCCUCAACACCUCCUCGCCGGCCGCCGCUGAGGCCGAGCAGUGCGAGCAGUCGUACGGCUUCCUCCCCUGCACCACCACCGUGUUCGGUAACCUCUUCCUAGUGCUCACCUACGGGUUCCUGAUGUUCAAGGCGGCCACGUUCCUGUCGGCGGGCAGUGAACUGUUGCUCGAGAUCAUGGGCCCCGGCCUUGUCGGCGGCCUCCUCCUCCCCAUUCUCGGCGCUCUCCCCGACGCUCUUCUCGUGCUCGGUACGCUCGCCUUUGCUUCCUUACUUAAAUUGUUUUUGCAAUCUGAUGUGUCGCGAAGUCUUCGGUUGCCUGCACCCUGGUUCAAGACUUCUACGUAGCAAAGCAAUUCUUUUUUUUUAUUUACAAACGGACAAAGCAAUUCCUAAGGAUCUGCUCUUCACGCAAAUAUAGAGCUGCUUUACAAAUAGAAGCGGUAAUUGUUAAAAAUGAAGAGUAAAAAGAAUCUGAUUUUCUUGACAGAGGGGGUAAAACCAAGAGUAAAGAAAAAGAACAAUUCUCCCGUUUAUGUUCGCGCUUUUCGGUUCUUGGUAUUUUAAGAUCUGAAUCCUCUAGCUUGAUUUGUGCUUGGAGCAGAGCGUAAGCUUUAGGAUCCGCUUGGGGACCAUUGACUGCUCAGUUCCCUCCGCUGCUCUUAUCUGCUUGCUCUUUUCUUCAGUGCAUGUCUACUUGCCUAUUUUUGGACUUUUGGAUUAAGCCCCUACCGUAGAGACGUGCAGACACCAACAAAUGAGGCUUGCAAGUUGUAAAUUAUGCCCUGUUUUGUCUGGAAUGUGCUUUUACUUAAGUUGAACUUUUCCCCCAGUGCUUCUUAUCGCUGGCCUUUUGACGCCCCCCCCCCCCGCUCCCCCCCCUUUCAGUUCUUUUUCUUUUCUUCUCAGGAGUAUCUUCUUUGCAUAAUUAAAUUCUCUCCAUGAGCUGCACAUAGUUAGUUGGCUGGUGAAUCGUUGGUGGUGGGUAAAUAUAGUGUUCCAGCGGUAGCGGACAAUUACUCUCUCAGUUCCAAAAUGUAGUGUAUAUAACUUUUGUUGACGGUUAAACCUUCUCAAGUUUGACCAACCUUAUAACAAACGUAUCAACAUCUACAGUGUCAGAUGCAGAGGCCGGGGGGUUUCAACCACCUUUUCGAAAAAAAAAUCUACGGUGUCAGAUGAAGAUCAUUAGAUCUAUUGUGAAAUAUAUUUUCAUACUUGGUUUGACACUCUAAAUGUUUGUAAUUUUUACCAUAAACUUGGUCAAACUUUAGAAAGUUUGACAGUCCGCAAAAUUUAGACGCCAUAUAUUUUGGAAUGGAGGGAGUAUUAUUUGGCCGAUUGAUCAGCUAACAUCUUACAUGUCCAUUGUUUUAUAACGCUAUGGGUUGUGGUGUACAUCAUACUAUGCAUCAUCUAGAUGAAUAACUUUUUAGUCAAAAUUGAGUAUAUUAUUAUACACCAAAAUUUACCUGUUAACAUCCAUUUAGUCAAACGCACAAGACUAGUCGCAUGGUAAUACCCAUCUGCAUGACUAGCGCAUACCAUUUUUUACAACAUCAAUAUCUUGACUUUGCAAGAUUUGAGUUGCAGAGCAUAUUUUGGACCUUAUGAUCUUCAAGUAUAUCCCUUCUUUUUCGUUGGAUUGCAUCCUGAUGGAUUUUAGUUUGUAGUUGUAAUUCAUCUCUGCAGAUAGGCUUUGUUGGUGCAUGGUCUUCUUUUUGACAUAGGUGCAGACAUUGAGUUCAUAAUGCAUUACUUUAGGGCGUGUUAGGUAACCCUCCAGCUUCUGGCUUCCUGUAAAUUCAACCCGGAGCGGCACCGAACACAAAAACUCCAAGAAACUAGAUCUAAGAAGCUAGCCCAAUUCCCUUCACAAAACGCGGAGCACCUCUUUUGGAGAUUCCCGGAACUGAAAAACGCGGAGCAGACCGAAAUUACGGAAGAUGUGCCACCGCCAAGUGAAAAACGGUUCGAUGCGCAUCUAUUUCUCUCCCCAUCGUCUCUUUCCCGAUACCCUUCUCCUUCCCAACACCGACGAGGCCACCUCGACUUCGUCGCGAGCCGGCGGUCCGGCGGCGACCUCCUCCUCCUCCCCGUUCUCCUCCGCCCCUGGCACGACCCUCCCCGACCAUGACCUCGUCCGCUCCGCCGCAAGCUGCGUUGACCCGGCCACAUCCGCCCCCUGCCUCCACCCUGUCCGGCCACCUCCGCCGCCGCAUCCAAAUCGAAGCACGAGCUGUCUGCGGGCGGCCUCCUCCUCCUCCUAAGUUCUCCGGUGGCCUACUCUUGUCCACUCGUCGCGAGCUGCCUCGACCCGGCUUCCUCAUCGAUGCUCCAGGACUCGAUUUUCUCUCCUGGCUGGCCUGCGAUGCUCUGCUGCUAAUUCCAGCAAGCGGGAUGAACAGGGCUUGGCGGUGGCUGGCCAUUAAUGGGCUUCCAGCCCAGUACAAAGGAAGGAGUUGUGCUGUACGUUUUGUGCUCCAGAUCGGAAGCAGAAGUGGGAACAGGAAGCAGGAUCUGAGGAUUUUCGGGAAGCCAGACCGUUGCCGAACACACCCUUAGUCUUCAUGUAACAUCUUGGUUACCUACAUUAGUACCUUGGCUACUUACAUGCAUCAGGAAGGAUCUAAUUUCUUCAAAGAUCAAACUGAAGGUUCCCUGGUGGGAUAUGUAGUUGCCUCUAUGCUCUGAUAAGACCUUCAAUUGCAUGCAUCUAAUUCAGAUAUAUAUAAAAAGAAUACUGAAUGCACAUUUUAAUACUGUACAAGUUUGCAGCAUGCUUUAUUUAUAACACAGCAUGGCUGUCAAAUUUGGUACAUUACUCUAAAUUUGAUCAACUCACACUUCUGUUUUAUCUUAAUAAUGUAGCCUCCAGUUCUCCAGUGGCCACUUCAGAGACCAGCUUCUUACAAUAGCUUGUUUGCGCAUCCUUAGUUGUUGGUUUUUAAGUGCCAUAUAGCAUUUGAACGUGACGGGAACAUCUAUUUUGCUCCCAUUGCUAUGUGAAUAAUAGAUCUAUUCAUGAUUUGCUAGAAUCAUGAAGCUAUUCAAUUUCGCUACUCUAUGAAUAUUCAUCUCUGUGCAGCUUCGUGCCUGCGUCCACAUAUGAUUCUGAUCUUGUUCUGUCACAUUAACAGUAUCUGGUCUCUCCGGAACUAAAGAGACUGCACAAAGUCAGGUCCUCAUAGGAAUGGGGCUGCUUGCUGGUUCGACUGUCUUUCUUCUUACCCUGCUUUGGGGAACUUGUGUUGUUGUUGGCAAAUGCGAUGUUGGGCCAAAUAAUGUUGCUAUUGAUUCAACCGACACUAAGGGCUUCAGCUUGACUGGUAAGUUGUCAGGUUCAAUAGUUAAAUUUCAGGAUUAUCGAUUUUCAAAAAGAGCAUGUGCAAAGUUCAAUUAUUGAUUAUUUUUUGGUAAUAGUUGAUAUGAUUCCCUUGUUUUACAGGUGCUGGCAUUUCGACUGAUGUGCAGACCAGCUACGCAGCACGAAUCAUGGCCAUAUCUGUUAUUCCCUUUGUCAUUGCUCAGUUCCCAAAAAUGUUGAAGACUCACCAUGGGGAGCGCCUAGCCAUCUUGCUGGCCCUGAUUGCAUCGUUCUCACUAGUACUCGCCUACUGCCUGUAUCAGGUAUCUUUUUUUCAGAGUUUCACUUCAGGAGGCUGGAAAUGACGUUAUGAUUGACAAAUCUAUGCCUCAAGAGUCAAUUUACAGUGUCAGAUUCUUCAUUUUGCAUCAGGUUUUCCAGCCUUGGAUUCAGAAGAGGAAGCUUGCAUACGCAAAGCACAAGCAUGUGAUCUCUGGGAUCCUAAAGCAUGCCCAAAUGCAAGCACUGGGCAGGCUGCUUAACGAUGACGGCACACCUAAUGAAAACGUUAUAAGAAAGUAUGUUUCUUAAAACAUCUUAUUGGCCUUGAUAUGCAAAUAAAACAACACUCAUGAGCAUGACAUGAACUUUGUCUAUGCUCACACACAGGUUGUUCUACAAGAUUGACAUGGAUGAGAGCCAUAACCUGUCACGAUCUGAGCUACAUGCGCUUAUUAUUGGGAUCAAUUUUGAGGAGAUUGACUUUGACAAGGAUGACGCAGUCGACAAGAUCAUGGAUGACUUUGAUACUUCAGGCAAUGACACGGUUGAGGAGGCUGAGUUUAUCGCGGGAAUGAAGAAAUGGCUUAACGAGGCCAAGCGCAAUGUACCUGCUAGUGGUGCCUUCUCCAAUAAGUUUGUCAAUGACUACCAUGCUGUAAGUUAUUUACUUUCGAUCCUUUUGAAGAGAGGAUAUGACUUACACUAGGGAAACACAAACUAAUACAGAUAGGAUAUAACUUGAUGAAUUAUCUGAAUUCUGCAGAGAACAAGGGAAGAGCAUGACCAGUUGGUGGACAGAUCAGACGAGGCAGUGGAGAGUGUUGAGAACCCUGGUUGGUGCAUUGCCAAAGCUGUGGGGUUCCUGCUUCUCGGUGGUGUCAUCUGUGCUGCUUUUGCAGACCCACUCGUUGAUGCUGUCCACAACUUCUCUAACGCUACGCACAUCCCGUCUUUCUUUAUCUCAUUUAUCGCCCUCCCACUGGCAACGAAUUCCAGUGAGGCCGUCUCCGCCAUCAUCUUCGCCAGCAGGAAGAAACAAAGGACCUGCUCCCUCACUUUUUCAGAGGUUCGUCACUGCAAGCCCCAGUGGAACUUCUUAGCUUCUAAACCGCCCGUAUCUCUGCUCUGAACUUUUUUUUUCAAAAGGGAUCGCCCGGCCUAUCUCUGCUCUGAACUUAACAUCAAUGAAUUCGUUUGCAGGUAUACGGAGGUGUGACCAUGAACAACACACUAUGCUUGGGUGUGUUCUUGGCGCUCAUCUACUUCAGGAACCUGACAUGGGACUUCUCGUCGGAGGUACUCAUUAUUUUGCUCGUUUGUGUCAUCAUGGGCCUCUUCACGAGCUUCCGGACCAAUUUCCCGCUCUGGACUUGCCUAGUGGCAUACCUGCUGUACCCUCUGUCACUCGCUGUCGUCUACGUCCUCGACUACGUCUUCGGUUGGUCAUAGGUUCAUGCUUCCGGACUCCCGAUUUUGGUGGUCACUCGUGUUUGAGUUCAAUCUUCUCGUAAUUUUUGACUGCUUUGUAAUUUAUCUGUCUAGACAUUGAGAUGUUUAUGUUUGUGUAGCCACGGUGUGCAUUGUGUAUCUUUGACUCUUUGUAUCUAUUUCAAGGUCGCACAUGGGUGUAGCAGUUAUCUUUGUUAUGUUUUCAUACGGAUGAUGUUCAGCAGAAAUGAACAUAAUACGGAGACAACUGAGCUUAACAUAUUUAUCGUUUUGUUAAUCUGGAAUUCCCCAUCAUAUAUAAUCUGGACUUUGCUCUUAUAAAUAUUAUGGAGUUGUAAUUUUACAUUCCUUACAUCCAAAGACACCUUGGCAUUUGUUCGCAAGCCCUUUGUCAUGUGUGUCUGCAGAAAUUCAGUGUGCCGCUUGCUGGAUGUGCAUAGGAGAGACCCCACAGACUAGCUGUGAUGUCUAUCCUGCACAUGCUCUCCUUUCCUUAUUGAAGCCCCUGCCGGUUCAGUACCAUACUACCAUAUCAUCUACCCGUCUGACACUUUCUUUGUUGAGUUUCUCCUACAUUUGGCACAAGCUUACCUGGAACAUACAUAAAGAGCUUCUUGUUUCCAUCAUGCACACUGCUUCACUUUGUCAGGAACAAACAAAGUGGCUCAGUAAAUCAACCAUCACCAGAAGAUUAUUGGCAGUGAAAACAUCUUCUAAAAAGCAGCUAUUGAUACAUCUGAUCUUACUACCUGAACACAUCUCUCUACAUUUUUACCCCACAGCUGGCUGUUGUUCAAUUGCAGAUUUGCUCUCAAUGUUUAUCAGAAGGCAACGACAGUUAAGAGUCAUCAAGUGAUCAUUCAGCCCUUCCAUAGCUUCAGCUCCAAGUCGACUCCGCCUUCAGACAUGUCGGUCUUGCACUCGCUCGGGGCUCUCUCGAGGCGCACCGGACCGACCGGCAGGAAGCUGUAGAACGGCUGUGACGACGACGAUGCAGCCGAAGUGCUCCCCUGCUGAUCAAAACUUUCAUCGGUUAACCACCAGAUUUUUCAGAGCCAGAGUUCACACAUUUUACAGGGUUCAGAAGAUACAGCAGCGAAUGGCAUUUCACUUGCCUGAGAUGGCAUGACACUGGUACUGGCACUGAAGCCGUUGUACUCCGGGAUGUGCAUUGAUGGCACCACGUGGGGCUGCUUGAUAAGGUGUGGAGGCUGCGAGCUCAAGGUGAGCAAGGCAGGGUCUCUGCCACGGCCGGUCUCCUUGCUGCUGCUGCUCUUGGAGUGAGCGAAUUCAGAUGAUGUCCAGUCUGAAUAACUCCCAUAUGCACUUGCACUGUUAUGCAGAAUUGAUGAAGGUCAGUGAUCAGAUUAUACCCGAAAGAUUCUAGGAUGAUAUCGGGGAAGUUCAGAAAAAAGUAUAAUCUACUUUUCUUCAGGGUAAAUAUGGUAAACAUAGAUUAUGCAUUUGUUUCUUAGCCUUUCUUGGUACUGUGAUGUUUGGUCAGAUAAAACUCAUGCUGAAGAAAAGCAGAGGAAACAUGGUAAAAUCUCAACAGAAAAACGAAGUUGUAAGUUUUUGUGGUGCUGAGGUAAAGGAGGUGAAUAAAUGUGACAUGAUUUUCACCAUUUUUUCCUACUACCUAAAUCAACUAGUAACUGCUGGACACAAGUCACACAAGAACAGAGACCAUUAUGAAAAUUAUAAUGCAUUAAAUUACUUGUCCAGAAAAUGAAGGGAAAACAGAGCCAAUAAUCAGUUCAUCAGUGGUCUGGCUUGAACCAAAACUUACGAAUUUUGUAACUGAUCAAUUGAAAAUUGAAACAAGUGAACCGAUUAAAACUGCAAUCUACCUGAACAAAUUAGUUGCUCUGAACUCGAAUCUGCCCAGGUCAGGAAUAACAUCGGCCAACCCAGAAUCGGUCGCCGUCCUGACGGCGGUGAAAGGCGGCGCCGGAUGGGGAGGAAGAAAGGCUUUGCUGGCCGUCCUGAAGGCCGUCAUCCCCUCGAACAUGAUGGGCCAGGAUCUAUCCCCGCCGGCCGUCUCCUACACUCUACCCAAAUCCACAUUUAGCGACCAUCCAAUCCACCGAUCACAAGCCGGGCAGCGUGAGAGUGAGACUGACAUACAUACCCUCUCCUCCUCGGCCGCCGCCGUCGCCGUGCCGCUCCGGCUGCUGCUGCUGCUGUACAUUUGGUUUGAAGGGGGCUCCAUUGGGUGGCUCGACGGCGCCGUCAGAGACAGGCCCGUGCUCACCUGAUGACCACCAAACGAUUUGCGUAAGUUUGGGCUGGGAUCUCGAGUCAGGCGAGUAAGGGUGACAUUUAGAGGGAAGCUCGUACGUACCAUUGGGAGUGGAGGCUGAGGACAGAGGCUUCUCUUGUACGGGUGCUUGGCGGGAUCCACGGGGCUCCAGAGCACCGGCGGGAAGCCGCCGCCGUCCGCGUGUCCGGGCGGCCUCGAGAGAGCGCUCAGCGGGGGCGCCGGCGGCGGGAGGUGUCCGUUGAGCGCGGCGUGCGAGGAGGGCGUGGCCGGCCCAGCGGCGGCCAUCUUCUUCUGCUCCUCGAUGCGGAGCUUCUCGAGCUGGGCCACGCCGAGCCCGCGCUGCGGGAUCUUCUUGGGCUUGUUCUUCCUCGACGCCCGCGCCACGCCCGUGGCAGUGCUGCCCGCGACGCCGCCGCCGCCGUACUUGGCCAGCUGCUGCUGCAGGUGGUGCUGGUUGUUGCCGUGCUCCUGCACCAUCGUCCCUUCGCGCCCGCCCAAAAAAUCAAAUCAACCCAGACAUCACGAAACCCAUCAUGAUCCGGACCAGAAGAGAAGAAGAAGAAGAAGACGCGGGCACGAACGCGACCAAGAAGCGAUCGGCGAGGAGGCCGGCGCGCGCGUGGGCAAGGAUCGGAGGAACGACCAGCGGCUGCCUGUGUGAGGGCCUGAGGGGGAUCGAGCUAGGCGCAAUGGGCGGGGUAUAUAUAGGUGAGAAGAGUGUGCGAGCGAGUGGUGAGUGGUGAGUGGCGCCAGGCCCGGGAGACUCGGGAGCGGGAGAUCUAUAGAGAGAGAGAGGAGGGAGGAGAUCGAUGCAUGGGAUGGAUUCUUGUUUUCUUCGGCUAGCUAAUUUGCCGCCCAAAUCCUCGCUCCACUUAGCUCCCCUAUUCUCUCUCGACACUGGAAAUGACACGACGACACACAAGCCCCGCGGCGCUCUCCGAGGUUGCAGGAGAAAUUCAAGGAGCCGCAAUACUCGGAGCAACUAGUACAUUUGAACGGCUUGCGGCCACAUAAGCAUGCGCGAUCAUGGGACUGAUCGAGUUUCCGUUAGGAACUGCUUGCGUUGCCCGUUAAAGGUUAACCUUUGUCAACUGCUUAUAAUGAGUUUUAAUGACUAAUUUUGCAUGUGCUUUACAUCAAAAACUUAAUGCCAAUCCUUUGCAUUCUUUUUAAUUACUCGCUUUUUUUUAGCAAUCUACCAUUAGCAAGGAUUAAUCAUAUUAGUACUUCGUGUCAGAUCUGAAUAAACUUCAAAACUCCUUUUUCUUUUUAUCACCCUACACAUUCGAGGCCGAGUAAGGAUAAGGGUAAUGACACCUUGAAAAUGCAUCUGUGCUUUUGAAAGUUUAAGGAUGUACUCACUCCGGCCGGAAUUACUUGAUUUGCGAUCUGCGAUAAGUAAUUCCGGCCGGAGUGAGUAUUCUCUUUUUAGAUUAUACUAAUAGUAGCCAAAGAUGCACAAAUUAUUGUUUUUCCUUUGUGGGUAGGAUCUUCAUGGAAAUUCGGUAGAUACUUAGGUAGCUUCAAGGUUCGGUGUCUAUGGGACAUGUGCUUGGUGCAAUUCGGAAUUGAUUUGAAAGUGUCCCUAUAGGAUAUGUCCUAGAUACCAUCUCUUUAUGCCUCCAAGAUUGAGUCAAAUGCAGGUUACUCUGUUCCUUAGCUUUCCAAUGGGUAUUUACAUGUACAAAUCUAAGUUUGGAUGCAUGUUGUGGAUCCUCGUUAUGGUAACUGAUCUAGCCCAAUAAACGUACCAGGAGGGAAAAAUCGGCCACUCUUGCACGUUCUUGGAAAAAUCUUCAUGUGAGCACACGCUUGACUCCUUCUGUUGUGGCCGAUUCUCCUUUAAUCCUCUGCCUAUGUGUUCCGUGCGGCUGCAUGCCAACUCCUAUUGUGUCUCUCCCAUGGCUCAUCCUAUUCCACGGUCCAGAUGGAGGUCUCAGAGCUUUGUUACUAUAGAAUAUAGAUGACAUCACAAAAGCUCAAGCAAAGCUCGAAAUUGGGCUUCUUCGCGCGCCAAAAUUGGGAUGUAUUUGUGUGUGUGUGUGGGGGGGGGGGGGGGGCUCAAAUGCGUUUGACUAGAAGAUUAGUCAAUAUGCGAUCUUUAUGUUGCGAAGGUUGUUUCGACAUGCUGCAAGCGCAUAGUUUAUGAUGCGGAUGCAUGACCGUGAUGUUGCAAUCACUAUUUUAUUGCAAUAGUUUGAAAAAUAUGCCUCAAAUGUGUUUUAUGGUGCAACGCCCUCCAGCAACCGCCAGGUGGAGUAACUGCCAACUCCUCGUGAAUACUGAGAAAAUUUCAGACAUGUUUUCUCUGGAAGCACUUCUGGAGAAUCGUAUUUUCUAUAAACACCGAGGAACCAAACCGAUCAGUUCGGUUUAACCGAAUGCCCAAGCCUAAUCCCCAUUUCCACCUCCCUCCCGCUCCCACUCUCUCGAAAAAAAUGUGAACACGUUAUGCAGAGAGAUGGUUGAAAACAGAAACACAUCGAAUCUGGUCCCGCGUUGCGCCUGACAAGGUUUUCCAAACAGAGAGCACAAUCAUGGACCCAGAUCGGUCUCGGGCGACCGACCUCGGCCCCCCACGGGAACCCCAAGACAAACAAACGGCAGCUCAUCCCGCGGCCCGGAUGGGAGGCCGUGUUUUCACAGUUAGUUCUCCAACUCCCCUCACACGGUACCUCCCUCUGUUCGAUCUCCUCUGAUUUGGACGCGAUCUCGUCCUGAUCUCGCGGCGCUUUCAGGCUGCUCGUUUCGGGGCACCCGGCUCCGGAUCGGCAACGGGCUCGCCUCCUUUCUGCCCCCUCUUUCGGGUCGUCCCUCCCAACCACCUCGCCAGACACGCUAGGCUACUAGGGAUCAUAUGCAAAUGCAAAUGCCGUGUCCACUUCGCAGGCCAGGAUCCUCCUCGGAUUCACCCCCAGUUUGUUUCACCGCGUGAGCUAGCUAGCUAUAGCUCUAUGGCUAAAGCUAGCAGGCGCGCGUGAUGUGAGCGACCUAACCUCAUCAGUCAGGCAGCUCUGCAAAUUGCAGAGGCCGCCGCGAGCAUGUGGAAAUCGAUCGAUUCGUCCGUGACGAUGCAUGCAUCUGCACAGGAUUGUGGCCGAUUACGAUUAGGUCGCUGUCGCCCCUGUACCCACGGGAAAAAUACGGGGUAUCAGUCGAGAAUCAUGUCGGUUUAUUAACGGAUAUACGCGCGUAUAUCGGCUAGCUCUGCCAGCAUCACACUCACGUCAACUUCGAGAAAAUUACCCUUCGUGCCACCGCCAACACUAACGCACUGCCCCCCGUUCCGCGCGUUUCUCCUCCAAACGAAAAAAAACAAAAAAAAGCUCGCCGCAGAUCCAAUCUCUCUUCCUCACCGAGGCGCCAUCGGCGGCGGCCCCCGCUCGCCCGCCGGCUCCUCCCCUGUGUGCGCCGCCGCCCCUCCUUCCUCUGCUCGCGCCCCCACCCUCCUCUUCAACGAGCCUCCGCCUCCGCUCUUAUCCUCACCGAGCCGCCGCAACCGGCGGCCUCCGCCCGCCGCCUCCUCCCCUGUGUACGCCGCAGCUCCUCUUCCCUCUCCUCGCGCCCCCGCCUCCUCCUCAUCGAGCCGCUGCAGCCGCCGGCCUCCGCCCCUGCCUCGAGGGAGGUCGACCUGUCAGCUUUUACCCUUCGCUGCCACCAAGGGCCACCUCGCCGCCGCCUCCCUUGCACACCGCCGCCACGCGCCGCUCCCGUCCACAGCCCCUGGAAACACCGCCACACGGUCUCCUAGGGUUUGCGCCUCCGCUGCCGCCCUGGCCCGUCUCGCGCUGGCCCUCCAUCCCGCCUCCCGCAGCCCCACGGCCGAGCCCCUCCCAACCCGCCGCUCGCCCCCAAGUGAAGGCCGCCGCCGCCACCGCGGUCCGAUCUUUCCCCGUCGUCAUCGCCCCUCCUCCACCCGUGUCUCCGGCCCUGCGCAUCGCCCAGAGGUUUCCCGCUCUCAACUGAGGAGUUCGCCGCUGACGGCCUCCACAAGUACCUGAUAGUCAUCCUGUCAACUUGUGCCUUUGGAGGUAUUUUCUGGGUCUUUUCAUGCAUUCAACGGCUAUGGUCUCAUGAAACCAACUAGGUUAUACGGAGUAUUAGAUAAUAUACAUCUGGAAGGUUGGACUGGUAUGCAUUGUGCAUUAGGAAAUUUGCACACAUAUUAUGAGCUUAAUUUAUACGGGUUCUAUUUUUGAUGAGGAAAUUUGGACAGAUAUUAUGAGCUUAAUUUAUACAUCUGGAAGGUUGAAAUAUGUACUCCCUCCGUCCCAUAUUAAGUGACUCAAAUUUGUCCAAAUACGAAUGUAUCUAUGCCUGAAAUGAGUAUAAAUACAUGUAAUAGAAAGUCACUUUCUUUCCCCUCAUUUAGCAGGUUGUAGUGGUUGAUACAUGCGCAUAUAAAUUGUAUGUACAUAGUUAAAUUGGAAUCUAUGGAAAACAGAACACCAUUGUUGGUCCGACUCUGUAGCAGCUCAUGUAGAUAGUAUAUAUGCUUAUUCUGUGUACCACUGUAAAUUGAUGUUAGCUCUGUGUGGUCAUUUCAUUUUAAGACUUGUACAUCAUCAGAUUCACUUGCAGUGUCAUUUCUUUUUGUAAGCAGAUGGGAAUACUAAUUCAGUGUAUUGAGAUCUAUAUUUUUUUUUGACAUGUAUUUUAUUCUCCAGAUUUACAUACUGGAACCUAGCCCUGUGCUUGCUCCCUCAUAUCAGAUGAACUUUUUUCUAUCAAUUUUCAUCUUUUUACCUUGCAGUACGUCACCCUCUUUUUCCCUUUGCAUCAUUUUGAGAUCAAUCUCUCAAACUCAUGAAUAAAUGUUGUUCUUUUUUCAGAUUGGAAAAGGGACCGGAAAAAAGGUUAUUCAUGAGGUCCUUAUCUCUGUGUUAGUUUUUUCUUAUGAAUUAUGCAAAUGAGAAUUUUUCUCUGAAAUGAAUGCACAUUUCUCUCCUUGCCUAAGAGGAAGGUUUUCAUCAGUGCAUGUAUACAUAAUUAUUUCAUUUCUUUAAGCAUGUACUGCUGCAUUAUCAUUGUAUGACAAAUGAUGUCAUGAACGCGACAAGCUAAUACUAAUACAUGUAUACUGUGUCACAGGUAUGCUUUGGAACAAAAUAUCCUGUGGAAACCAAGUGGAGGAAUAUGGAAGUGGAGUGAUUGACAUCUUGAGGAUGGAAAAUUGGUAUCUUAAGUGUAGGAGAAAAUCUGUAUGUGUUUUGAAGAGAAAACAUCCAUUCAUGAUAGCUUGUCCAAUCUAGGCAUUUUAGGGGCAGCUCGAGUAGAUAUUUUAAUGAAGUAAGCUUGACUGCUUGAUCGUUAUUGUGUUACUUGAUGCUUGGUUCAGAAAAAAAAAUAGGAUUUCGAUUGGUGAGAUAAGGAGCUUCAGUUUGCAACUUCCAGGGAAAGGACGAUGUUGAGGUGCUGGCACAAAUUGCUUACUGCCAACGAUGAGAUCCGGACGGUGGCGGCGGGAUAAGGAGAUGGCAGCGGCAUCGGGAUCCAAGUGUUCUGCGGCACCACCAUCUCCUGGGCGUCUCCAUGGCGCGGCUGCUCACCGUGUCGGUGCUGCUCCGCCACCUUGACCUCAAUGCCGUCUGGCAUGGCGCACGCUGUCGGAAGCCCUCCGCACCCUUCAGUUUCUUUGAGGUAUGGAACAAGAGUGACAUUUGUGCUCAACAUGUGCUUGUGUUAAUGCCUACAAGAAACUAAUUUUUCGAGGUACUUCCAUUUGGUACAGAGAAUGAAUCUAGGCAUUUGGUCUUCCUUUAAUUUUUGUCAUGCUUGGAUUCUUGAAGCUCCUGAUGAAGCAGAGGUUUCUUGCCUUUGAAAAUUUUCAGGUCAGCUUAUUGUGUACAUGAUCUACCUUUAUGUUUGGUUGAUCGAGUUGCUAACUUACAAACAUGUUGGUCUAAUGGGUUUUAACUAUCUUUAACAACUCAUUUCCUUUUUCGCCUUUAGUUGGUAUAAUAGCAAUAUAUAGUUGCUUAAAUACUGCAUUACUGCAGAAGAGCAUUGACAUUGUAUAAACUAUGUUAGUAGGUUUCAGCUUCAUAUUAUAGAGGAAAAGCAGGCUGUUAGAGCAUGCAAAGAGUAUAUAUAGUUUCUUGAUUUUUCCCUUGAUUCUAAACGUCUAAAGGACAUCAUAACAACAGAUCCUUAACUAAGCUACCAAGUUCAUCUCUCAAUUUUUUUCCCUAAUUACCUUCUUUACAGAUGGCCACAUCUGACCCUAAAAGUGAAUUGUGUAAUACUGAAUUGUGUUACUUACUCCUUGUGCUGCUACAGCAUGUUCCUAAAACAAAUGGAGAUAUUCCUUCUCUUGAUGAAGCCUUUUCAGAUCAUCAAAGACACCUUUACAUGUAAAUAACCCAGUAGUACAUUUGUUUGGUCGCCAAGCCAUAGUAAAUUAGGAUUCUCAAAACUAUGAUUAAGACAACCUGAAGCUUAUGGCAGGGGCGGAUGUGAUGCAAUUUUGAUAAUGCCCUGUAGUACCCUGUAGCCAUAGUAAAUUAGUAAAUCCGGAUUCUCAAAACUAUGAUAAAUAACCCUGUAGUACAUUUUUUUUGUUAAUGCUUGAUUUUCUCUCUCGAAAAUGUGAUGCAAUUUUGGGUGUCCUUUUUCUCGGUUGGUUGCAGGGGAGGAUGAAGCUAUUGUGGUUGUUUAUAUGCUAUUGCAGUUGAUGAAGUUAUAAUCCUCCACGAUCUUCAGAACUAAAAGGAAGUAUGUGAGAAAAGGAAGAGUCAUGGCAACACAUUGUCUUAAUUAUGUUUGUCUUCCCGUUGCAACGCUAUCCAUGCGUC
rnacentral:lncRNA from 1 species